AACGAACGCUGGCGGCAGGCCUAACACAUGCAAGUCGAGCGCGCCCUUCGGGUGAGCGGCGGACAGGUUAGUAACGCGUGGGAAUAUACCCUUUGGUACGGAAUAGCCUCUGGAAACGGAGAGUAAUACCGUAUGAGCCCUUCGGGGAAAGAUUUAUCGCCAAAGGAUUAGCCCGCGUUAGAUUAGGUAGUUGGUGGGGUAAUGGCCUACCAAGCCUACGAUCUAUAGCUGGUUUUUAGUA
rnacentral:rRNA from 1 species